ACAGUUCAUUAUUUGCUGAUAUUAUUAUUAUUAUUAUUUUCCCCCAGCAUUACAUUGAAAGCAGCAGGAAAUGGCUGGUGCACCGUGUCACGUGUUGACCCCAUGAGGUGAGCAGGGUCAGGGUUACAUGACACCUGGGUCUAUAUUCACCAAGGAGUGAUCCCAGCAUUCAAGGACUAGUGGCGUGUGAGAUGCUGUUUUCUGCGAGAUUUGUGAAUCUGCACUACAUUCUUUUAUAAAUAAAACCUUCUGCUUAACAGUCUUGUCUUUUGUAUGUGGAU